rnacentral:rRNA from 1 species
CCCUUAGAUGUUCUGGGCCGCACGCGCGCUACACUGAUGCACUCAACGAGUCUCACCUUGACCGAAAGGUCCGGGAAAUCUUCGAACUUGCAUCGUGAUGGGGAUAGAUUAUUGCAACUAUUAAUCUUCAACGAGGAAUACCUAGUAGGCGCAUGUCAUCAGCGUGCGUCGAUUACGUCCCUGCCCUUUGUACACACCGCCCGUCGCUCCUACCGAUUGAAUGAUCCGGUGAGGCCCCCGGAAUGUGGCAACGGCUUCGGUUCGCCGAACUGAUGCUGCGUGAAGCUGUCCAAACCUUAUCAUUUAGAGGAAGGAGAAGUCGUAACA